rnacentral:rRNA from 1 species
CCCUUAGAUGUCCUGGGCCGCACGCGCGCUACACUGGUGCAUUCAACGAGUUUUACCUUGGCCGAGAGGCCUGGGCAAUCUUUUGAACCUGCAUCGUGAUAGGGAUAGAUUAUUGCAAUUAUUAAUCUUGAACGAGGAAUUCCUAGUAAACGCAGAUCAUCAAUCUGCAUUGAUUACGUCCCUGCCCUUUGUACACACCGCCCGUCGCACCUACCGAUUGAAUGGUCCGGUGAAGCCUCGGGAUUGUGGCGAGUUCCCUUUAUUGGGAGUUUGUCGCGAGAACUUGUCUAAACCUUAUCAUUUAGAGGAAGGUGAAGUCGUAACA